GUCUCGUCAGGGACAUUUGAUAAAAUUGGAACGAUACAUAGAAGAUUAACAUGGCCUCUGCGCAAGGAUGACAUGCAUAAAUCAAGAAAUGGUUUAAAUAUUU